rnacentral:rRNA from 1 species
CGGCAGGCUUAAUACAUGCAAGUCGAGGGGUAAAUAGGUAGCAAUACUUAUGAGACCGGCAAACGGGUGCGGAACACGUACGCAACCUUCCUUAGAGCGGGGAAUAGCCCAGAGAAAUUUGGAGUAAUACCCCAUAGCAUUUGGAGAAAGCAUUUUCUCUUUAUUAAAGAUUUAUCACUCUAAGAUGGGCGUGCGGCUGAUUAGGUAGUUGGCGGGGUAAUGGCCCACCAAGCCUACGAUCAGUAGCUGAUGUGAGAGCAUGAUCAGCCACACGGGCACUGAGACACGGGCCCGACUCCUACGGGAGGCAGCAGUAGGGAAUAUUGGACAAUGGGCGCAAGCCUGAUCCAGCCAUGCCGCGUGGAGGAUGAAGGUCCUCUGGAUUGUAAACUUCUUUUAUUUGGGAAGAAAUGUAGAUAUUCUUAUUUACUUGACGGUACCAGAUGAAUAAGCACCGGCUAACUCCGUGCCAGCAGCCGCGGUAAUACGGAGGGUGCAAGCGUUAUCCGGAUUCACUGGGUUUAAAGGGUGCGUAGGCGGGCAGGUAAGUCAGUGGUGAAAUCUCUAAGCUUAACUUGGAAGUUGCCAUUGAUACUAUCUAUCUUGAAUAUUGUGGAGGUUAGCGGAAUAUGU